rnacentral:misc_RNA from 1 species
AACCCUUCAAGCUCAGCUUGGUGUUGGGUGCUUGUCCCGCCCCGCGCGGCGACUCACCUCAAAGUCAUUGGCAGCCCGCACCCGCCGGCCACGAGCGCAGCACAGUCGCGCCCGAGGCCACGCAGGGUCGGCUCUCCAGAAGCAACCCCCAA